GUAGAAUUUCACACAUAUUCCUCAAAUAGCAGCUAUGAACCAAAAACUCUGGGAUUAAAUAUUUCAGUGACCUUUAGGAUUUACGCGGAUUUCGUGUUGAUCAGCACACUUGAUGUUUUGGGUGUUUGUGGUAUGGUUUAAAUUUUGCACCCAUCUGUUAACACAUGCGAUUGAACGAAAACGCGUUCUUAAACAGUUACAUAAACACACACAAUGCGCUUUAACUCGGUAACGUUAGCUUUAAAUUACUUCAGGAUAAUUACGUUUGAUUAAUAAUGUUUUUUCCUUAUUUCAUAAUCCUUUUAUAUAUACACACGUGUACAGUACAGUGCUUAAUUUGUAAAUAUCUUUACAGUGGGGUGAGCAAUUGGACAGGCAGGUGGAGAGGAGACACUAGAUGCAUUCAUCCCAGCUUCCUGUCUGACUUUGCCACUCUGUUCACAGCAUAUCAUCUUCUUUCAAAGCGCUCUGUAUCUGGAGAGAGGAACAAAGAAGUCAGGAGGAAAAGUAAACAUCAGGCCAAAUGGUACAGAAGAAACAGGUUGCAGUGAACCUACAUGUUGCUACUCUUCUUUGCAAAGUGAUGGAUUUGCAGUGGAG